rnacentral:piRNA from 1 species
UUGGCCUAGCUAGACAAGUGCUUCUCA